rnacentral:rRNA from 1 species
UACACUCCUGCGGGAGGCAGCAGUGGGGAAUAUUGGACAAUGGGCGCAAGCCUGAUCCAGCCAUGCCGCGUGAGUGAUGAAGGCCCUAGGGUUGUAAAGCUCUUUCACCGGUGAAGAUAAUGACGGUAACCGGAGAAGAAGCCCCGGCUAACUUCGUGCCAGCAGCCGCGGUAAUACGAAGGGGGCUAGCGUUGUUCGGAUUUACUGGGCGUAAAGCGCACGUAGGCGGACUAUUAAGUCAGGGGUGAAAUCCCGGGGCUCAACCCCGGAACUGCCUUUGAUACUGGUAGUCUUGAGUGCGAGAGAGGUGAGUGGAAUGCCGAGUGUAGAGGUGAAAUUCGUAGAUAUUCGGAGGAACACCAGUGGCGAAGGCGGCUCACUGGCUCGAUACUGACGCUGAGGUGCGAAAGCGUGGGGAGCAAACAGGAUUAGAAACCCGGGUAGUCCC